AUUGAACGCUGGCGGCAGGCCUAACACAUGCAAGUCGAGCGGAGCGGCGGGCGGGAGAGUAAUGCCUAGGAAUCGGCCUGGCAGAGGGGGAUAAAGUCCGGAAACGGGCGCUAAUACCGCAUACUAGCAGAUGAGCCUAGGUCGGAUUAGCUAGGUGGUUGGGUAAAGGCCUACCAAGGCGACGAACCGUACCUGGUCUGAGAGGAUGAUCAGUCACACUGGAACUGAGACACGGUCCAGACUCCUACGGGAGGCAGCAGUGGGGAAUAUUGGACAAUGGGCGAAAGCCUGAUCCAGCCAUGCCGCGUGUGUGAAGAAGGUCUUCGGAUUGUAAAGCCCUUUAAGUUGGGAGGCGUUACCAACAGAAUAAGCACCGGCUAACUUCGUGCCAGCAGCCGCGGUAAUUC
rnacentral:rRNA from 1 species